UACGUGGGGUGCAAGCGUUAAUCGGAAUUACUGGGCGUAAAGCGUGCGCAGGCGGUUGUGCAAGACAGAUGUGAAAUCCCCGGGCUCAACCUGGGAACUGCAUUUGUGACUGCAUCGCUGGAGUGCGGCAGAGGGGGAUGGAAUUCCGCGUGUAGCAGUGAAAUGCGUAGAUAUGCGGAGGAACACCGAUGGCGAAGGCAAUCCCCUGGGCCUGCACUGACGCUCAUGCACGAAAGCGUGGGGAGCAAACAGG
rnacentral:rRNA from 1 species